rnacentral:rRNA from 1 species
GUCCUCUCAGACCAGCUACGGAUCGUCGCCUUGGUGAGCCUUUACCUCACCAACUAGCUAAUCCGCCAUCGGCCGCCCCUAUAGCGCGAGGUCCGAAGAUCCCCCGCUUUCAUCCGUAGAUCGUAUGCGGUAUUAAUCCGGCUUUCGCCGGGCUAUCCCCCACUACAGGACACGUUCCGAUGUAUUACUCACCCGUUCGCCACUCGCCACCAGGUGCAAGCACCCGUGCUGCCGUUCGACUUGCAUGUGUAAGGCAUGCCGCCGCG